rnacentral:rRNA from 1 species
UUCCAGGCAAAUCCGGAAGGUCAACAUUGAGGUCAAGGACGAGUCCGCGUGGACGAAGUCACCGAUAUCACGCUUCCAGGAAAAGCCUCUAAGCUUCAGGUCACGAGAGACCGUACCGUAAACCGACACAGGUAGGCAGGAUGAGAAUUCUCAGGCGCUUGAGAGAACUUGGGUGAAGGAACUAGGCAAAAUAGUACCGUAACUUCGGGAGAAGGUACGCCAGCACUUAACUGUGUUGGCCGCAGUAACCAGGCCGCUGCGACUGUUUAUCAAAAACACAGCACUCUGCAAACACGAAAGUGGACGUAUAGGGUGUGACGCCUGCCCGGUGCCGGAAGGUUAAUUGAUGGGGUGCAAGCUCUUGAUCGAAGCCCCGGUAAACGGCGGCCGUAACAAUAACGGUCCUAAGGUAGCGAAAUUCCUUGUCGGGUAAGUUCCGACCUGCACGAAUGGCGUAACGACAGCGGCGCUGUCUCCACCCAAGGCUCAGUGAAAUUGAAAUCGCUGUGAAGAUGCAGCGUUCCCGCGGCAAGACGGAAAGACCCCGUGAACCUUUACUAUAGCUUCACACUGAACGUUGAGUUCGUCUGUGUAGGAUAGGUGGGAGCCUACGAAGCGUUGGCGCUAGCUGAUGUGGAGGCAACCUUGAAAUACCACCCUGAUGUGCUUGACGUUCUAACCUGGGUCCGUAAUCCGGAUCGGGGACAGUGUGUGGUGGGUAGUUUGACUGGGGCGGUCUCCUCCCAAAGAGUAACGGAGGAGCACGAAGGUGCGCUCAGCACGGUCGGACAUCGUGCGUAGUGUGUAAAGGCAUAAGCGCGCUUGACUGCGAGAUCGACGGAUCAAGCAGGUACGAAAGUAGGUCUUAGUGAUCCGGUGGUUCUGUAUGGAAGGGCCAUCGCUCAACGGAUAAAAGGUACUCCGGGGAUAACAGGCUGAUACCGCCCAAGAGUUCAUAUCGACGGCGGUGUUUGGCACCUCGAUGUCGGCUCAUCACAUCCUGGGGCUGUAGCCGGUCCCAAGGGUAUGGCUGUUCGCCAUUUAAAGUGGUACGCGAGCUGGGUUCAGAACGUCGUGAGACAGUUCGGUCCCUAUCUGUCGUGGGCGUUAGAGAUUUGAGGGGGGUUGCUCCUAGUACGAGAGGACCGGAGUGAACGAAUCUCUGGUGUUCCGGUUGUCACGCCAGUGGCAUUGCCGGGUAGCUAAAUUCGGAAGCGAUAACCGCUGAAAGCAUCUAAGCGGGAAGCGCGCCCCAAGAUGAGAUCUCUCCCUCCUUGAGAGGAUAAGAGCCCAGGAAGACCACCUGGUUGAUAGGCGCGGUGUGUAAGCGUGGUAACACGUUGAGCUUACGCGUACUAAUUGCUCGAAGGCUUGAC